rnacentral:lncRNA from 1 species
CGGUUUGGCCAGUUUGGAGCAGGCAUUGCCAAGAGGCCAAUCUCCGCGCUUAGACACCAAACCUUAAUCGGCCAGGUAAGCUUUCGCUUGCCUUAGACACCGAAGAGUCGGAAUAAUUAAAGAUUACCUCGUCUUUUAGGUACCUUCCUAAUUGAGCGCCAAAUCCUAGGGGCUAACGUCUAAUUCAUUUUAUUAAAAGGCUAAGGAAAUGCAAAAUGUGGAAAUUAAGUUGUUGUGGGCCAAGGAAAGAGUGAUGAAAUCCCUUCCCUUAUCUUGUGAGUGGGUUUUGCCCUUAAGAUUUAUUUAAAAUGAUGCUCCACACAACGAGAUAAUUAAAGCGGUAAACAACUAUGGAUGCUCAAACUACGUGUUUUAAUCUAAAGAAAAGAAAUUAACGUACCUUUGGGUCCUCCAGCGAUCACCACAAUUAUAGGUACGAAAAUUUAAAAACAAAAAUUAAAAUCUAAAUGAUGUGCCCCUAAGUGUUUAAAUGCAUGAUGCAACAAAUAUGUAUUUCUAACUAAUAUUUUUGGAUUUUAAAAUUUUUUAUUUGUUUGUGAUUUUCCAAUUUUCAGAUUUGUUUGUGGUUUUCUAAAUAAAAACGAAAAAUAAGAGUGGAGAGAUACGGGAUACCAAAGCAAGCUUCCAAAUCCGAGCAAAAUUUAUCCACUUUACUCCAUGAUUCCCGAAUAAUCCUCCUCGAAAUAAAAACAAAAAUAGUGAGAAACAAACUAAUCCGAAAGAUUAAAAAUAAAGGAGCGAAAAAUUAAUUUUAAUCCCCCUAUGAUGUGCUCGAAAAGAGAUUUUAAAAAUAAUCGCAAGCGCACGAUCGUCGUUUUAAUACUUUAAUGAUUCGUCCACAGAGAUUAAAUUUUAAUUAUCGCAACUUAUUAUUUUUAAUCUAGGCGGAAUAGAACAAUUUUUAAUUAAUAAGUGAGAAAGUGAUUAACUCGAAAAUUACCAAAUUUACAAAGAAAUAUAGUUAAACUACGCAAUUAUCACUUAAUUGAUUUAUCUAAUUAAAUCACCAACUACAACCUUCUAAUUAAUUAAACAAAGUAACCUAGUGACUUGGUGAUUACUCGGCUAAAACCAAAGAAACUAAAAAGAAACACAUGAACGAAAAGAAACAAAAACAGGCCCAUACAGCUCAGCAAAACAAAAUGAUCCAACCAAUCGACUCAAAACACCAGGACUCGACUUAAAACACAGCCAAAUCCCACCAGCAUUUCACCGAAAACAAUAAAAACCAACAAACUAACAAAGUUUGAAAACCAGAAUACUAACAAAAGAAAACAAGACUCGAUUCUAACCCAAACAAACAAAACGAACACGAACUCAGCCUAUACGAAACCACAGUACUCAGUGCAGGACAGAACCCAGACUCGAUAACUCGGCAUAGCACACAGACUCAGUACCAAAGAAAUUAAAAACUAAACUAUCAAACUCAACCGAAAGAAACCCAGCAACUCAUCAAAUAGAACAAACUCGGUUGAAUCAAAACAGCGACUCAGCAAAAGAGAAGAAAACAGAACUCAGAAAUCAGAACGAAAACGCAGCAAAACAAAAGCUUAAAACUAAACCCAGAGACUCGAACACAGCAAAGGACUGGACUCAGAAAACUCAAACAAAGUAACUAACUGGACACAAAACUAAGCUGUAUAAACUUAGCGAAAAAGAACUCAGCGAUUUGAACAAAAACCAUGAAAAACAACGCAGCAAAAAUCAACUAGACUCAGUACUCAACAAAACCAAACAGAAAAGCGAAGCACAACACUAUCAACUACAAAACGAGCUCAUCAGCAGAACAAGCAAGCAAAAACCCAAACAAAAACUCGAAAUCGCAGGGGCUAAACACAACACGCAAAACUCAGCCAAUGACUAGGCUAAUCGAUCAAAACAGAGGAAACGAUUCGGUAAUAGCAGACUAGAAACGAACUGACUCACUAACAAGCAACUGAACUCGAACCAGCUAGUGACUCGGCAACUCGGAAGCACGACUCGGUUUUUGACUCAGUACAAAACCCAGCUGAGCAGAACUCGGUGGGUUCUGGUUUUAAAACUAAGAACAGCAAAAUGGGUUGUUUCAACAAAACUAAGAAAAGGGGGUUUCGGCUGUUUUUUUUUUAAGAAAUGAAAUCAGAGAAAAGACACGGCAAGUGUUAGUGAAUAACACAAAAUGGAAAAAUCCAGGAACAGGGGAGUUGGUUUUUGGGGUUUUAAACGAAACUUUUCUAACACAACAAUACAGAGCACUCGAUUGGUGCAAUUAUAAUAAAAACCGUGUAUAUACUGCCUUAAUUGGAAUGCAACAUUAACAUUAAAUAAUGUGUAAAAUCUGAAUGUUCAAGUUAAACCCCCACACAAAUUAUUUUUGUGUUAGGAUUUAAAAGAGCUUUAACAACUAAUUUAAGCAAUCAUAAAAUCUACACUAAUUUAGAGGGCAUCUCCCAUUCCCAAAAGCCCUUAGGCAUAUGGUGGUACUAAGAAGAAAAUGCCACAAGAAGCAAGAAAAUAGAGACAAUACAAGAUCAAGCUAAAAGAAAAUUUGCACUAAAAUAAAAAGUGUUUACAAAUAUGGUAUGAAAUUGAGAGAGCAAAAGAAGAUCUAGCACUAUACUAC